AUAUAAUAUAUGUGAUCAUUUAAGUUUAUUGUUCCUGUGCUGUAGGAUAUAAAUAAAACAUAAAUAGAGAGUUUCAGAAUUUGUUGGGAAAUGUCAAAGAAUUUUAAUAAUAGAAGUAUAGAAGUAUAGACAUAGAAGAAUAUAACAAUAAUGAUUUUUAAUAAUGAAUGUUUUCUUAAUAAAAGAAAUUAUUAGAUUCUUAUUUUUUUAUUAUUAAAAUAUAUUAUCUAUAGUUUAAAAAAAAAUAAUAAGCUAUUAAAAAGGUGAAUGUGCUAGAAGAAACUAGUACAUCGCAAAUGAAUCUAUGGAAACAAUACAAAACUAUAAUACAAUACAAUGCUUGAAAAGAAUUGAAAAAAGAAUAUCUACACGAGAAUGCAUUCUCUUUUAAAUAUAUACAAGUACUACGAAUUAUUUAUAAUUACACAAUCUUAAUCUAGUUUGUACUUUAUAUAACAUUAAUCUUCAAAAUGAAAUUUAUAUAGAAAUAAUUUAAUGAAUACAGAUUAAGUAUAAUAUAUUCCAUUUAUAUAAAUUAAUAUUAUAUAUAUUUUUUUUUAUGAAAACUUUUUUUAUUUUAUUUUUGCUUUAUUUACUUACCAUAUUAUGCAUUAAAUAUUACAUCAAAUGUAAAAAUAUGAUCAUUAGGACUUAAUUAAUUUUCUCAAAGUUUGUCAUAUUUAAAUUAAUUAUUUAUAAUUUUAAUUAAAUAAUUGGUUUUCAUUCUAAAUGAGUAAUAAUUAUGCAGAUUUAUAUUUUUUUAUAUUUAAUAAUAUUAACGAUAUUAUUAAAGUACACGAUGAACAAGAAAAAUGUUUCUUGAGAAACAUCUAUAUAUUGAUUUACAUAAUUAUUGAUCCAUAAAAACUAUUUCAAAUAUGCGAUUUACGACGAGAUUUUUCAUUUCAGACUAUUUUAACCUUUUUUAAAGCAUAUGUUAAUGAUAUAUAAAACAAAAGAAAAAUAUUUUCCAAAAUUUUUAUAGUUUUUUAUAUUUUGUUGGAGUAAAUCAUUAAAAACGAGAAAAAAGACAAAAUUAUAUACAACUUAAAAUAAUUCUUUUAAUUUACAAAAUUAAAAUUAAACUUUUUUUACUACUUUUCUUUCCAAAUACCAUAAAAUUUCAUCUCUUUCAAC